AACCCGCCUCGCCCUUCCUCCCCUCCAUCGCUAUUUCUGUGCCCCCCAGGCUCCCUCCCUGUCUCUCUCUAGCUCUCUCCCUCCCGUCUCUCUCCUCGACGUCACCAUGGAGGGACGCUCCAGCCCGCCCAAAGCGCAACAUCCUCCCUCCUCUUCCCGUCACCUCCCCUCACAUCUGAGCUGAGCCCCGGUGCCAGAGCUCUCUCUCACUACCCAGAACUCCACAGCCUCUCUCUCUCUCUCUCUCUCUCUCUGGUCGUUUUCUCUCUGGUGGGGGGAUGUCUUCGUCGGGGAAGAAGUUUCUGGUGCGGCAUCCGGUGGUGGUGGACCUGGGCUGCGGCUGCCGGGGGGGGAAGCUGUCCUCCCUCUUCUCGCAGCAGCCAAAGCCGAGGACGAAGACGAAGGCGAAACCCUAUUCAGCUCCCAAGGAGCAGCAGCACCACCACCACCAUUACCACCACCCUCUCUCAUCGUACUACCCCUUCUCCCCCUCCACCUCCGGCACCACCACCGCCACCUCCCCCUGGGAAACCAGCCACAACCCCUCCUCCAUCUCCACCACCACCG
rnacentral:lncRNA from 1 species